GAUGAACGCUGGCGGCGUGCCUAAUACAUGCAAGUCGAGCGAAUGGAUUAAGAGCUUGCUCUUAUGAAGUUAGCGGCGGACGGGUGAGUAACACGUGGGUAACCUGCCCAUAAGACUGGGAUAACUCCGGGAAACCGGGGCUAAUACCGGAUAACAUUUUGAACCGCAUGGUUCGAAAUUGAAAGGCGGCUUCGGCUGUCACUUAUGGAUGGACCCGCGUCGCAUUAGCUAGUUGGUGAGGGAACGGCUCACCAAGGCAACGAUGCGUAACCGACCUGAGAGGGUGAUCGGCCACACUGGGACUGAGACACGGCCCAGACUCCUACGGGAGGCAGCAGUAGGGAAUCUUCCGCAAUGGACGAAAGUCUGACGGAGCAACGCCGCGUGAGUGAUGAAGGCUUUCGGGUCGUAAAACUCUGUUGUUAGGGAAGGACAAGUGCUAGUUGAAUAAGCUGGCACCUUGACGGUACCUAACCAGAAAGCCACGGCUAACUACGUGCCAGCAGCCGCGGUAA
rnacentral:rRNA from 1 species